GAGUAAUAAGAAAUUAUAUGAAGAAGUGGGAAGAGUAAAAAUUGACCCAGAGGGCUACAUGUUUCAGGAAAAGAUAAGGAGUGCUUUUUCCCCCUGCAGGAAGAAGCAAGAAGGAAGAAAAUGCCAUCGUUGUCAUCUUGUGUCUGGAAUUGGUGGGUUCUUGGUCUCACUGACUUCAAGAAUGAAGCCGUGGACCCUCGCGGUGAGUGUUACAGUUCUUAAAGGCGGUGUCUCCAGAGUUUGUUCCUUCUGAUGUUUGGAUGUGUUUGGAGUUUCUUCCUUCUGGUGGGGUUCACGGUCUCGCUGGCUCAGGAGUGAAGCUUGGACCUUCG
rnacentral:lncRNA from 1 species